ACGGCCAUACCACAUUGAAAACACCGAUUCUCGUCCGAUCACCGAAAUUAAGCAAUUUCGGGCCCGGCCAGUAAUUGUGGAAGGGUACUCACAUAAAUAAAAACUUUAUGCGAGUAAACUUUAUUGUUGGCAA